rnacentral:lncRNA from 1 species
GCCCUCACAAAGUGGGCAGAGCACAAUGAAAGGGGAAAGAAAAGCAGGCAAUGUGGCACCUGUCCUAGGGAGUUGGAAUGUGGGGGAGAAGCUGUUAGCAUUAUGAUUUGGGUCAGGGAGAAUUUCUGAGCUGGGCUGAGAGGAAAUGAGUAUAGACACGAUAGAAAAGAGGUUGAAAGGGCGUCCCCUAAAGUGGUCUUGUCUGUAUAAAUCAGAGGCAAGACCAAAGGGCAUAUGUGGUCAGAAGGAAAAAUGGCCAUUGAUGACCUUGACUGGAGCUGUUGUCAAGCACAAGUAUACAUGUCAGUUUGGAGCUGACAGAGGAACUGUGGGCGUCUCCCAAGGGGGAGAGAUGGAGAACUAGAGGAGGGUACACAUGCCUCAUGAAGCAGGGUCAGACACUGAGCCGUGACCGACACGCUAGCGGUGGCUGCAGGAAGGGGGUCCUACUGAGGAGACGGCAGGAGGAGCCAGAGGAGAGGACUGGGAAAGCAGGGGUCCUAGAAUCCCAGGAGGAGAGUUUCCAGAAGUCAGUGGCCAUUAAUGAGCCAGGUGCACAGAAGUCAGGGGAGGUGCACAGAGCCUCCUGGAGGACCCCUGCCAUAGCAACUGGCAGGGGGACAGAGCCCAACUGGGUGGAUGAGGAUGUGGUUGAGAAAGCGGGAGGGAAAAGGGGGACCUGGGGGGGACAGAAGUUUCUAGAAGGUGCUGUUUCUUACACAUUGACAUUUGGAGAGAGGAGGGCUAUGUGAGGACAGAAGAGCAGGGACAGGUAGCGGAAGGGGCCCCAGAGUGGUGGGAUUAAGUGUAUAGGUGAAGGGAUUAGUUGUGUUCAUGGAAAGGGGCAAAUUAAAUCAUGUACAUUUUACCAAGUAACCUGAUCUCCGUGUUUUUCUGGAAGUUGUUUCUCUGCCCUCUGAGUACUGACUACAGCCCUAAUUAGCAGUGGUUUCAUCCUGCCUCGUGUCUGGGGCUGUGUCUUAUUCAUUUUUGUACCUUUCGGUACCUAGCAACAGGCAGCAAGCGAGGUAGAGGCAGAAUAAUGAUUUUCUGCUUGAAAUUGAAUGUCUGAAAUGAAGGUUCAGAAUUUUUUUCUUUUUAUACCAAGUAGAUUUUGUGGCAAUUCCCAAGAAAUCACCAAACAAGGAAAUAAAAGUCAAAGUUGAAGCUGUCUGCAUGUGAGGUUGCCUAGGGUCUCAGGAAAUGCACUCUGCCCUCCAGAGCAGGCAUAGCUCUUCUUUAGAGUUUGUAUGGUGAGGUCACGACUGCUGUCUCAUCUGGUCAUCACAGACCCACCCUGCUGCCCCGAGUGAGGCAGACAGCUACUGUUAGCCCCAUUUCACAGGUUAGGAAACUGAGACCUAGAGAGGCAGGAUAGAGGAGAAGAAUGAUGGGAAAGGAAGUCAAUGGGGACUAGCACAGUCCAGAAUGCUGCAUUCAGGGUCCUUACCACCACUACCGGGUGGUGUCUCCUAGACGUUGAGAAAUUCUGUUUCUUCUGUAUUUAGAUAGAAGUCAGAGUCAAGAGGGAGCAGGUCUGACUGGCUGAGCUAGGGCCUCAUGACAUGGGGCCCUAGCUCAGCCAGUUAGAUGGCCUGAUGGCCCCCUGACAGGACCUGAUAGUGAGUGGUGGCACCUGACAGAGGGGCCUCUGUGGCUUCUCUUUGAGAGCGCAUCCAUGUUCCAUUGCAGCCACAUGAUAUAGGACACAGGAAACGUCCCUAAAGUAAUGUGGGGUGUUAGGGAGGAAGAAGGGAUGCUAGGGAGUCCAGACCACCAUUAUAAGAACUAACCAGGCAGAGGCAGGGAGACCUGUUGGGAGGCCAUGGUCCAGAAUAGAGAGGCAGAGGCCUGUGCUAGACUGGUGGAAAUGGAGAGAGGUCGAUCCAAAACUUGUAGGAGAGAAAAACCAGAAAUGGUGAAUGAUGACCUCUUGCAGAAGAGAGAGGGCGAAGACAGAGGCUGCUUGGGUAGCCUUUGGGGAGGUCCCUGGGAUGGGCAGCACCACAUGGGGAGCCAGUUUGAGGGGCAAGACAGUGGUCUCGGAUACAGGCAAGGCUUCGGGUUAUUGCCACGUGCAGCCCAACAGGCACUGGGAUCAAGGGUCUGGGGCUCAGGGAGAGAGUCGACUGGAAGUACUGGCGCAGGGCUAUGGCCAUGCAAGUAAUGGGAGCCCCAAGAGUUAGUGAGAUCACCAAGGGAGAACAGGACAGGGCCCAGGGCAGAAUCGUGAGUCACAGUGACAUCUGAGGAACAAUCAAGGUGUGGGAAGGCGACAAAGGAGGAAAGGUCUGAGACUUUCCACAAACAACCAGAAGAGUGGGUUGCCAUGGCAACCAAGGUGGUGAAGAGUUUCAAGGAGAAAGUAAUCAACACUGUCAAACGCAGCAGAGAAUUCCGAUAAGAUAAAAACAGGAUUUUUUUUUUGAUUUGAUGAUUAGUAAGCUUUUGAUGACCUUAAUAAGAGCAUUUUGGAGGAGUGAUGGGGCAUAAGCUUGAAUAAUGUUGAGAUGUGAGGGGGAGGCGAAUCCAUCACUAAGAGUCCUUUGAGGAGUCUGGAAGGAAGGCUUGGACAUCUGAAGGACAGGGGUGGAGGGCUGAGCGUAGGAAAGACAGGAGCAAGUUCAUAAGCAGACAUCAGCUCCCAAAUGUGGUAAGUGUUGUUUAGUGACAAAAGUUUAUUCAUUCUUCAUAUUCUAGUUUAGGUCCUAUUUUGUGCCUGGCAGUGUGCCUAGCACUGUGGAUUCUGUGGUGAAUGAGUUAAAAUAGGCAGGUUUCCUGUUCCAUAUGGAGCUUGUAUGGCAGUAGGGGAGAAAGACGUGAAUCAGAUAGUCACACACGUAAUGUGUAAUUUCCAACACUGAUAGGCAGCCUGAACGAAAGGUACCAAGUGCUAGAGGGUGUACAAUAGGGAACCUGCCAUAGGCCAGCUCCGGGAAGCUUCCCUCAGGAGGUGACACUGGAACCAAGUGGUUAAGAAGGGGACAGAGUUAACUAGACAAAACAAAUUGGAGCAAAGCCUUCUGUGCCGGGGGUAGUGGGGGAGACAGCCUGUGCAGAGGGAGGGGAGGGGAGACCAGAGAGGCAGCCUGUGCUGGCUGGGCAGAGCUUUGGAAGUCAGGGCUGGGCUCCUGUGUGCAUGCUGAGAGCAAGGGAAGUGUGCAUGAGACUGCCCUGGUAUUUCCUGUGAUCUGAGACUCUGGCUGUAUAUGGAGAAAUCACUAGAGGAAGCACGGGUAGACUUAGGGGGCCCAGCUAGGGAGCCCCUGCUGUCAUGGCAGCCAGGAUUUGGACACGAUACAUUAAGGUCCAUUUCGGUGCUGAAUGGAAUGAGGAAGGGCAGGGGGAAGAGGGGGUAGUCAAGAUGACCCCCCAGUUCUUGCUUGCCUUAUUGGUGGCACAGCAGUGCUGUUCUCAGAACUGGGGAGCCCUAGAAAGAAACUAGGUUCUGUGAGGCCGACCCCAAGUCUGGCGGGAGGUGGCUGAGACAUCCAAGCUGGGAGAUAGGGAGGAGAUGGUUGAAUGUAUGGACCUGUGAGAAAUUAGAGACCCAUUCAGAACUCCUGAGGGAGCCUGAGUGGAAAUAUGAAUUGAAGUGGUAUCAGGUUUCUGGAGUGGAGCAUUCCGAGAGUAUGAGGGAGGCUGAGGAAGAAGAGGGCAGGCACCACCUUUUGAAGCCCGUGAAAAGAAAGAAGAAUCCUCAUAGGAUACUGGGAGAGCCAAAAAAGAAAGGGCCAGAGAGGUCUUUCAGUAGGACGAUGAAGUGGUCAGCAGUAGGUAUGUGCAGAAAGGUUGGGGGCCAAGGGCAGGUGCAUAAGCCCCUCCAGUGUGCAACUGCGCAAUCACCAUAGCCCCUGGAAUUGGGCAGCCUGGUGUUCCUGCCGACUGACACUCCCCAGGGCCCAUGGGGGACCCUCUGGGGACCUUAACAGAGGCAGCUUGUGUGGCAAGUGAUUAAGGAGAGAGGGAGCAAAGUCUAGGGCCUUUAAAUUAAAUCUUAGUCUUCAAGGAAAGAGCAAUGCCGCCCUAUGACUGUUCUGCGGGAAGGGAGCCUGAGUAAUGGAGUGAUUAAGGAUGGAGACAAUUAGUGGAAUGAGUUCCCACAGGGUUUGGGAUCAAGUGGUGGUGGAUAAAUUAGUUUGGGGCAAUAAGGUAUAUUUGACUGAAUGGGGCAAAAUUUAAUUAUUUACCUUUUAGAGAGUAACUUGAUCUCCAUGUUCUUUGGGGACCUUUUAUCUGACCUGUGUACCAACCGUGGUUCUAAUUAGCACUGUGUUUAUCCCGUCUCAUGUCUAGGAUCGAGUCUUACUAUUUUUUGUGUUUCUCAGCACCUAGCAACAGGCAGCAAGUUCUUUGGGUGCCGAAUCAAUAUUACCUGCCUCAGAAUGAAAAAUCUAAAGUCAGCAUUUCAAACUUUCUGACCAGAAAGAAUCUGACAAUUCUCCACAAGUACGAUGCAGGAAGGAAUUGGGGCAUCAAGUCAUGGUGGCGGGGGUUUGAGUGGGUGGAGAAAAAGUAGAGGAGUUGGCCCCUUGUCCUUUUCAGCUCUGUGCCAUUUAUGCGUGUUCACAUUCAUUAUCUCAUGUGAACUUCACCUCCCCACCCCCUCCAGUCCCAAGCCACAGAGCAUCACCCCGUGUCAUGGAGGAGGCAACAGAAAACAGAGAGGUGCCUUGCUGAUAUAGAGCACGAAUGGCAGGAGCUGGAUUCAGACCUCAGUCCAUCCAGGAUCAAAGUCCUUCCCAGGACCAAGUUGAUCUGCGAGGAAGAGGAUGAGAGAUCUGUGAGAUGCAGGUGGAGACGCUCCAUGGCACGUGCGGGAGGCUGGCGGUGCGGUCCGAGGUCCGACCGGAGACCAGACCGGAUAUUUAAGCGUCACAUCAGACUGCAGUGACAACGUCUGCAGUGCCAGCACUACAGCAGACAUGGUGUGUACCCGCUGGAGGUGUUGCUCUCAGUUUAGUACGCCCUACGGGACUCCUGGUGUAGCCGACGUGCCCUGCCACAGUGUUCCUUGCAGCUGGCGACUGGCGGCUGUAGCUGCUUUUGCAUGUUUCCUAUUGAUUGACUAUUAAAAUGUUUCCAGUGUCAUUCCAUUAAGACAAACCUGUAAGAGCUUCCUAAAAUUGCCCUUUUUGCAUGUGUUCAAGUAUUUCUUUGGGACAGAUAUCCAAUUUGUGGGUCAUAGGGUAUACCUAGCUUUAAUUCUAAUAGAAACUUCUAAAAUGUUCUCCAAAUUCCCAUCUGAUGAAUCACCUGCCAGCAGUGUGUGAGAGCAUCCAUUUCCCCAGACCACGUCCAAGUUUUCCAUUCUUAACCAGUCUGAUGAGUGAAAAAUAGUAUGUUGCUUCAUUUCACAUUUUUCUGAAUUGCUUACACAACUGAAGUCUUCAUGUGUUUACUGUCCAUUUUUAUGUCCUCCUUUGGAUUGCUUGUGCAUAUCCUUUGCCUGUUUCUUUUCUUUUUUUUUUUUUAAGGUGAUUUUUUUUGUCUUUUUGUUAUUGAUUUUUAGGAUUUCUUCAUGUAUUUGACUAUAAAUACUUUGUCAUG